rnacentral:rRNA from 1 species
UACGUAGGGUGCGAGCGUUGUCCGGAAUUAUUGGGCGUAAAGCGCACGUAGGCGGUUCGUUAAGUCGGAUGUGAAAGCCCUCGGCUCAACUGAGAAAGUGCACCCGAAACUGGCGAGCUUGAGUACGAAAGAGGAUCGCGGAAUUCCCGGUGUAGAGGUGAAAUUCGUAGAUAUCGGGAGGAACACCGGUGGCGAAGGCGGCGAUCUGGGUCGAUACUGACGCUGAGGUGCGAAAGCGUGGGGAGCAAACAGGG